rnacentral:rRNA from 1 species
UACAGAGGGUGCAAGCGUUAUUCGGAAUCACUGGGCGUAAAGAGUUCGUAGGCGGUUUGUUUAGUCGAAUGUGAAAGCCCUGGGCUCAAUCCAGGAAGUGCAUUCGAUACUGGCAAGCUAGAGUGCAGGAGAGGAGAGCGGAAUUCCAGGUGUAGAGGUGAAAUUCGUAGAUAUCUGGAGGAACAACAGAGGCGAAGGCGGCUCUCUGGACUGUCACUGACGCUGAGGAACGAAAGCGUGGGGAGCAAACAGG